rnacentral:rRNA from 1 species
UAACUUUGAGCGGUGGAUCACUCGGCUCGUGCGUCGAUGAAGAGCGCAGCCAGCUGCGUGAAUUAAUGUGAAUUGCACAACACA